rnacentral:ncRNA from 1 species
GGUCAAGCAAUGAAGCGCACACGGUGGAUGCCUAGGCAGCCAGAGGCGAUGAAAGACGUGGUAGCCUGCGAUAAGGUUCGGUGAGGUGGCAAACGACCUGUGACCCGGACAUCUCUGAAUGGGGAAACCCACUCAUCACAAGAUGAGUAUCUUGCGCUGAAUCCAUAGGCGUAAGAGGCGAACCAGGGGAACUGAAACAUCUAAGUACCCUGAGGAAAAGAAAUCAACCGAGAUUCCCCUAGUAGCGGCGAGCGAACGGGGACCAGCCCUUAAGCGUGUGAAAGAUUAGGCGAACAGACUGGGAAGUCUGGCCAUAGCGGGUGAUAGCCCCGUAGUCGAAAAAUCUGAUCACGUGAAAUCGAGUAGGUCGGGGGCACGAGAAACCUUGACUGAAGACGGGGGGGACCAUCCUCCAAGGCUAAAUACUCCUGGCUGACCGAUAGUGAACCAGUACCGUGAGGGAAAGGCGAAAAAGAACCCCGGAGAGGGGGAGUGAAAUAGAUCCUGAAACCGUGUGCGUACAAGCAGUAGGAGCCCACUUGUUGGGUGACUGCGUACCUUUUGUAUAAUGGGUCAGCGACUUAUAUUCAGUGGCGAGGUUAACCGUAUAGGGGAGCCGUAGGGAAACCGAGUCUUAACUGGGCGACACAGUCGCUGGAUAUAGACCCGAAACCGAGCGAUCUAUC